rnacentral:rRNA from 1 species
AUUGAACGCUGGCGGCAGGCCUAACACAUGCAAGUCGAGCGGAUGAAGGGAGCUUGCUCCUGGAUUCAGCGGCGGACGGGUGAGUAAUGCCUAGGAAUCUGCCUGGUAGUGGGGGAUAACGUCCGGAAACGGGCGCUAAUACCGCAUACGUCCUGAGGGAGAAAGGGGGGGAUCUUCGGACCUCACGCUAUCAGAUGAGCCUAGGGCGGAUUAGCUAGUUGGUGGGGUAAAGGCCUACCAAGGCGACGAUCCGUAACUGGUCUGAGAGGAUGAUCAGUCACACUGGAACUGAGACACGGUCCAGACUCCUACGGGAGGCAGCAGUGGGGAAUAUUGGACAAUGGGCGAAAGCCUGAUCCAGCCAUGCCGCGUGUGUGAAGAAGGUCUUCGGAUUGUAAAGCACUUUAAGUUGGGAGGAAGGGCAGUAAGUUAAUACCUUGCUGUUUUGACGUUACCAACAGAAUAAGCACCGGCUAACUUCGUG